AUGCAAGUGUCACACAUCACAGUUCAGCAAAGGGUGUACUCAUGGCAGUUGCACAGUCGAUUCAGGCUGAUGGAGAAGUCAAACCUCAAGUGUUGCCAGUCACCGUACUCUAAAGAAAGAGAACUCAGGCAAAAUGGAGCAGGUGCUAUUUUCCCUAUUUUUAAAAAUGUCAUAAACAGUUCAAGCAUACAAAGGAAAUUCACAGAACAAUAUAGAGACAUCCACAAGCACCAUUCAAAUUUGACACAUUCACAUCGAUUUUUCCUUAAAGAAAGAACAUGUUGGGGCUGGUGCUGUGGUGUGGCAGGUUAAGCCAUUGCUUGCAAUGCUGGCAUCUCAUAUAGGUGCUGGUUUGUGUCCCCAGUAUUCCAUUUCCGAUCCAGCUCCCUGCUAAUGCGCCUGGAAAAGCCAAGUGCCUGGGCUCCUGCACCCACAUGGGAGACCCAGAUGAAGCUCCUGGCUCCUGGCUUCAGACUGGCCCCAGUCUGGCUGUUGUGGCUAUUCGAGGAAUGAACCAGAAGGUGGAAGAUCUCUCUCUCUGCAUGUAUAUAUGUCUUUCCUUCUUUCUUUGUUACUCUUUCAAAUAAGUCUAAAAAAAAAGAAAAAAAGGAAUGUUACAGAUGUGCUUAAACACCUUCCCAUUCCAUUCUCUCCCUCUUUUUUCUUCCCUCCCACCUAAUCCAGAAGAUUCAUUGUCUUUAAUUUGGUUUGAAUCUUCCCAUCCAGAAUAUAAAACUGUUUGUAUCAGGGUGGGAUUUUAGCCUAGUGGUUAAGACAGCCCCGCCCCGCCAGGAUGCCUGGGUUUGGUUCCUUGUUCUGGUUCCUGAUGCCAGCGUCCUGCUAAGGCAGAUCCUGGGAAGCAGUGAUGGUGACCCAAGUGAUUGGGCUCCUGUCACCUACAUGGGACACCUGGGUUCACUUCCUGGCUUCCAGCUUCAGCCCCAGCCAUUGCAAGCAAUUGAGGAGUGAGCCAGUAGUUGGGAGAUCUUUUUCUGUCUCACAAAAUAGGUUUUUUUUUAAAAAAAGUUUAUUUAUUUUCAUCUAUUUGAAGGUGAACAGAGCAACAGAGAAAGAAAGAUCUUCAUUUACUGGUUUACUCCCCAAAUACCCAUAACAGCCAGGGCUGAGCCAGGCUGAAGCCAGGAGCCUGGGACUCCAUCUGGGUCUCUCAUGUGGGUGGCAGGGGCUCAAGCACUUGGGCCAUCACCUGCUGCCUCCCAGGAUGCAUUAGCAGGAGUCAGGUCGACAGCAGAGGACUCAGGAUUCAAACAAGCCCUCCAACGUGGGAUGCAGGCUUAAACGAUGGCUUAGCCCACAGUGCUGCAAUGCUUACCCUCAAAUAAAGUGACUGUCUGAAAAACCUAUUGUAUAUAU
rnacentral:lncRNA from 1 species